GCCUGAGUUGCUCAGUGGGUUGAGCAUCUGACUUCAGCUCAGGUCAUGAUCUUGCGUUUUGUGAGUUCCAGCCCCACAUCAGGCU
rnacentral:tRNA from 1 species